AAGUGUAGUUCAGUGGUAGAGCAUCUCCCUAGCAUGCAUAAGGCCCUGGGUUCAAUUCCCAGCAUCCUUA
rnacentral:tRNA from 1 species